rnacentral:lncRNA from 1 species
CUCAACUGUAGGAAUGAUACUUUCAGUUUUGUUUUUACUUAAUUCUCGCUAAAUGUGCAGUGGUUUAUGAAAUUUAGAAAGCCAGAAUGUAAAACUCAUGCAGAACUUUUACAAUGUUCAAGCGCUUCAAUCUUCUGCUGCUGUUUUGCUUCAUCUAUCAGAGCGGAGCCCCGCCUGUAGGAACCAGCACUAUAUCUGUGUCAGGAAAAAAGAGAGACAACGUCACACUGCCAUGUCAAUUUGAGACCAAAAAGAUUUCUGAUAUUAGUUUAAACAAUGGGUCAGAAAACAUCCCUGUCUGUCAGACUGAAGAAUGUAGUGGACGAGUAUUUAAAAAAGGAAACUGUGACGUCGUCUUCAAGAAUC